GGCCGGCUGGCGUAAUGGCUAACGCAUCCGUUUCCGGUUCAAUUACUUUCCAGUCUGCGGAAGAUUGCAGGUUCGAGUCCUGCGUCGGUCG